CCCAUGCGUGCCCCCGACGUUGAUUCCCUCCUCGCGCUGAUCCUUUCUUCCUUGCCCUAACCGCUCUUCCCAACCGGCGUCGCAAUCCCGCCGCACGCCUCGCGAUUAAUGCCAUCAGCCAAGGGAAAGCUUCGCCUUUUCCUUUCUCCCGACCUCUUCCUUGCAUCACCCACAACUGACACUGACUCCCUCUGCCCUAGCCGACUUCACCUCGCCCCUCUCAGCUGAUUGUCGGCCGCCAGCGCUUGCUGCCUACUGACGGCAACCUUCCCCUUCUCUGGAGGUCAAUGACACAGCCGAGCACCAGCGUCUGUUGGAUUGUGCCCUAGACUAGGUCCACGGUCGUCGGCUCCCCCUUUCCGGCGCCUCCUUCCUUCCGAGCAGUGGAGAUUUAGAUUAGGGAUCGAGUUCACCUGCACAUCUCUUCCCUUUGCCCUAUUCAGUCACAUAAGCUCUCUGCGAUAACGGUGACUUAGGGUUUCCGGUGGCCAGAUUGGAGGUAAGUUUUCCUCCUAUAUCUGGAUUUAGGAGUUGAGUGUUAUUCUUGUUGAAUUUGACAACCAAACUGAGUUACGCAAGGAUCUCAUCACUUCCGGCUAGAUCCGAGGAAAGUUGUGGCUUCUUACUGGAACCAACACUGUCCCACCGUCGAAUCUCUGGUCCGACAGCGAGGGAAAACUUUCGGAGCUGCCAAAUCUGAGUGGUAUCGCAGCGUGUACCUCCGACAGUGAACCAACAGGGGAGCAUAUGAAAUUUGAGGAGGUGUUGGGUGGCUUUCGGAAUAGCUAGUUGCUUCUGGUGGAGUAGAGGAUUGGUGACAUUAGGGUUGAGGUUGUCUGGAGGAGUUCCAGUCGCUAGUCCCCUGCAGAUCGCAAGGAUAUUUUUAUUGGGUCUUUUGGUUUUAUUUCUUAUUGCACUAUCUGGACUUGUACUAGUUUUGCUUUAUGGAUAUUGUAUGGUUUUUUUUAUUGUCGAUGGAUUUUUAUUGGAUAUGUUUUGCUACAUGCAUGUCUAGAUGGCAG